GUCUCCACGGUCAGGCCGGGGCCAAAGCCGAAGAGAACGCCCCAGUCCAUUCCCUGGCCGGUUGUGGUGUGGCCAUCCUCGGCGGAGCGUUUGCGCAUUUCGUCCAUGAUAAAGAGUACACACGCGCUUGACAUGUUGCCAUAUUCGGACAGGACAUGCCUGGUGGCGCGCAUCCGUUCCUUGUUCAGGUUUACCUUGGCCUCCACCAUGUCAAGGAUUGCUGGCCCGCCGGGGUGCGCUAUCCAGAAGACGGAGUUCCAGUCAUCGAUGCCCAAUGGCUUGAAGGCAUCCUCCAGGGCGCGCUCAAUGUUCUUGGAGAUGAGCCCAGGCACAUCCUUGAGGAGGUGGAAGGUGAGGCCAACCUCCCGGAGGUGGCCGUCGAUGGCGCCCUCCGAGUCCGGCAGAAUCGUCUGGCUCGCAGACACCAGCUCGAACAAGGGGCGCUCGACGGACAUGUCGGGUGAGUCGAGGUGGGACUCGUGCGGGCCGCGGAAGGUCACCGCGGUGAUCUCCGAGCAGACCACUAGCACGCGCGCGCCGCGGUUGUUCUCAGCGAGGUCUUUGGCCAGGCGAAGCACCGUGCCGCCGGCGAAGCAGCCC
rnacentral:rRNA from 1 species